GCCGUUUAAGCAUACCGCCGGCGGGGAGAAGAGGAGGAGGUUGCUGCUGCAGCGGCGGCUUCUGGGGGCGGGUCCAGGCUGCGGCGGCAGUAAUCGGCCAUUGUUUUUGGCACAGUAGACAAAUUACCCCUUCUUUUCCCUCUCGCGGGAAGAAAUAAACUGGCGGGGAGCUUCGCCUGAUCGAAAAGAAUCAAGCUUUCGGGGAAAUGGAUCGAAUUGGAAAAACACGAACCCUAAUUUCAGAUGAGAGGACAAAUGGAGGAAGAGUGAGAUUUUAGAAUUGAAUAUUUUUCCUGUAAAUCGAGUGUAAAAUUAAUUAUUAUUUUCACCGUUUUUCCAUUUAUUCUCCAUUUUCCAAUUUCUCGUUAUGGGCUGGUGGGCCUAAUGGUGAUCCAAAUAAUUGGGCUUGUAACAAGAAGUCCAGUAAUAAAAACAAAGGAUGAAGGUUUCUCUUCAAACUAAUUAACUUCUUACCAAAAAAGUUAACUUCUUACCCAAGAAAGUACUUUGUGCCACAAUUACUUGGAAUGAAAGAAAACAAUCCAUGACUAACUUUAUGGUUGUGUUGUAUCCAGGAUAUGAUGAUCCACCCACCGACCAACAUUGUCGUCUGGUCGGUUGUCCUUUGCCUCCAUCUUCUACUCGAUGUGGGUUCAUAGUCGAAUCCUUUCACUUCAGUCUCUGCGACACAGCCGCAUCAAAUGGUCAAAGUGACCUGAAACAUAGUAUUCAGUCAUAGGCUAUAUCUGCCACUUUUUAAAAGCAUAAGUUUAUAUAAAAAUUAAAAUCCAUGUACAAUAACUGAAAGCAUGGAUAACAAACUGUAACUAUUAACUAGAAAGGGUGUACAAAAUAAGGUUAAUUUGCUACAAGAGCAAAGAGUACUAAAUCAAUCUUUGAACACCUCUAUUUCUUGCCAAGUCGACUCUCUCACGUGCUACAACACAAUGUUUCAAUAAUGCAUCAUCCUAAGCAGAACAUCAGAACUCAUUUCAGCUGCGGAGAUUCGAAAAGGAACACCCCCUCCUCGAGAAAUCGCUGGAAGUGCAGUAUCGUCAAGUGAAAGGUUUGGUUUUGAGCUUUUUUGUUCACCUCUUCCCACGACCUGCCAUACCGGAUCUGGGACCGGGGUAGCGAGAGAACUGUAGCUUUAAGUAGUUAGACUCAGGGUCAUGCUCGUCCAUCCUAUAUCCUGCAUAUAUCCAAACCAUGAUAGAAUAUUGCUUCUUAUAAACAUUCCUCAAACUGGUAAAUCUGGUGGGAUAUGAAGGCACAUUACCUUGCAAGGCACUCAUUGCGGUUGCAGCACAUGGUGGAUCAACAAAGUCGACAAAGCAAAGGAUUAUAGGUUCACCUCGCUGCAUUAUAUAUAGAAAGGCCAGUGAGCAAGUUGCAGAGUAAAACAACAAGGAUGGAGAAGAUAUCUGGUAAUUCUGAAAACAAUAAUGCUGGAAAAGAUAACUGGUAAUUCGGAUACUCACAUGCUUAGAUUCCUUGCUAACCAAUCUCAAAUCUUUAUAUCCGACAAAGGGUCGAAAUAUGUCUAAGAUGAGGUUAAGGAAAGCAAAUACAGAGUAAUAUACAGUGAAGGUAGAAAAAAAUGUUAACUGUUAAGAUUUCCAUGAUCUUAAGCAUUAAAAGGAUACGAGCCACUUCCCUUCUUAUACAGUCGUGAGGAAGCCCUUCGACAUAUAGAGUAUUGGAAGCAUCAGGUGGAAGGGGUACUGUAUCACGAUUUGAUCGAGGCAUAGCAUUUGGUCCAGGUGGGUGACCACCAAAACCAUUGGUCCCCAUAUUGGGUGGACCAGUUGCUCGAGAGCGUACCAUUACUGCAGGAUCUACCCCUGGAAGACCUCCCAUUCCCCCACCACCCAUGUUCCUUGGGUAACCAUCUCCGCCCAUCGGAGGGGCUUCUCUUGAAGCCACAGAAAGACCUUGCUUCAAAACAAUUAAGCUGAGUUUUCAGCAAGGAAUCGAAGCAGGUGAAAUGAUUAAGAAACAAGGAAAGAAAAGGCAUGAGAUUACUACAUUUUGAAGGUAUCGGUCAUAAGCUGAAUUAAUUGUCUGGGUGUCUUUUACAUGCUGAUUACUUGCCCCAUCAUCUCUAGGAUUUCCAUAGUAGUUAUUCAUCUCAUAGCCUGCGGGUAGUCCAGAGUUCUGCAUUUCUGCAAACAUGAGAUACCGUGUUCAGAGGAAAGUUUGUUCUCAAUUGUACAAUGAUAUGGACAUACUACCAAUUUAAAGUAGAUCAUUCAUAUGGCUUCGGAGGAAAAGCAACAUAGAUGAUAAUAUUUUCACUUUAAAAUCUGUAAAUCACCAUUCAUAGUCCAACCCAGCCAUUCUUUUUUUUUUUACGUUUCUAGCUAGAUACACUCCUUCCUCUUCAAACAAGCAAUCGAUUUGAGCUAAUAUCAAGCACCAUCUACUAAGCAAUCAAUCCAAACUUCAUGCCACACACACAAAAGAACCUUCACCUAAUUCUAUAUUCUUCCAUCACAAAUUGUCAAAUUCACAAUUGCUAUACAUCAAGGACGAGAAAAAUUUCGAGCCACCCUAUCACUCAAAACCCCCCCAACACCCCUAAUCCUAGCUAGCUCCGAGGACCCAAAUAAAAUCAACCAAAAUUGAACGUAAUACAAACAAGCAAUUCAGAGGAAAGAAGUUCACAAUGAGCAGAAAAUCGAACGCGUGCACGGCAUUAAAGAGGAAUCAACUAUUACAGGGAGUGGGAAAUGAACGAACGCACCGUAUUCAUUGCGAGGCCGCUUAAGCAUACCGCCGGCGGGGAGAAGAGGAGGAGGUUGCUGCUGCAGCGGCUGUUGUUGUUGCUGUUGCUGCGGCGGCUGCUGCUGCCGGUUCCAGUAGCCGUCGGCCAUAGUUUUGGCAGAAGGCACGAAUUCGCACUCCUUGAUUGGAAUGAAUCGAGCUUUCAAAUUAAAAAACUGAAACCACGAACCCUAAUUUCAGAGGAGAUCGGAAAUGGAAGGACUGAG
rnacentral:lncRNA from 1 species